rnacentral:rRNA from 1 species
UGGCGAACGGGUGAGUAACACGUGGGUAACCUGCCCAUCAGAAGGGGAUAACACUUGGAAACAGGUGCUAAUACCGUAUAACACUAUUUUCCGCAUGGAAGAAAGUUGAAAGGCGCUUUUGCGUCACUGAUGGAUGGACCCGCGGUGCAUUAGCUAGUUGGUGAGGUAACGGCUCACCAAGGCAACGAUGCAUAGCCGACCUGAGAGGGUGAUCGGCCACACUGGGACUGAGACACGGCCCAGACUCCUACGGGAGGCAGCAGUAGGGAAUCUUCGGCAAUGGACGAAAGUCUGACCGAGCAACGCCGCGUGAGUGAAGAAGGUUUUCGGAUC